AUGAAAUCGCAAAACAAAAACCAAAGAUUACCUAUCGGAAGAACUGUCAGGUGCUUCGCCGACCUCGCAUCAGGUACAAAUUAUGUAUGUUCUGUAACGGGAUCACGAGUAGUAUUAUCCGCAUGUAUUGUCUGUUAUGUAAUGGGAUCCACAAAGUUAUGUAUGUUACCAUCACCACUAUGA